CCACACUCAAGAUGGCUGCCCGGCAUUCCUCAACAAAAUGGAGGCUGCCUCACUCACUGUUACCAAGGCUUCAUUCUAGGCCUAAUAGAAACAACAAAUGUAGCACACAUAUACUUUGGUCAAAAGGCUUCCUCCUCACACAAGGACACAGACAAUAGAUUGAAGUUUGCAGGUAAAAAGUGGUUUAGUUUAUCCACAAGAUACUAUAUAGCGGCUAAAUCGUUCCGACAUGCUCCAAAGUUUGACUCAUAAAUGGAACCAACAAUUCAUGGAGCAGAAUGAGGAAGAGCAUAGAAGAAAUCAUCAUAAACUUAUCCCAUGACUACAAUCCUACAUGCUUCAGAGG